rnacentral:rRNA from 1 species
CCUACGGGCGGCAGCAGUGAGGAAUAUUGGUCAAUGGACGAGAGUCUGAACCAGCCAAGUAGCGUGAAGGAUGACUGCCCUAUGGGUUGUAAACUUCUUUUAUAUGGGAAUAAAAUGUUCCACGUGUGGGAUUUUGUAUGUCCCAUAUGAAUAAGGAUCGGCUAACUCCGUGCCAGCAGCCGCGGUAAUACGGAGGAUCCGAGCGUUAUCCGGAUUUAUUGGGUUUAAAGGGAGCGUAGGUGGAUUGUUAAGUCAGUUGUGAAAGUUUGCGGCUCAACCGUAAAAUUGCAGUUGAAACUGGCAGUCUGGAGUGCAGUAGAGGUGGGCGGAAUUCGUGGUGUAGCGGUGAAAUGCUUAGAUAUCACGAAGAACUCCGAUUGCGAAGGCAGCUCACUGGACUGCAACUGACACUGAGGCUCGAAAGUGUGGGUAUCAAACAGGAUUAGAUACCCGAGUAGUC